AGAAAGCAUGUGAAUACUAAAUUGAAGGCUUCUGCUGUCUCCCCUUGCCCCCUCCCAGCCGUACCCUGACACCCUUAAUUUACCACCAGUUGGUCUAUUUUGCUGCUGUUCUGAAGCCCAUGUUCCCUCUGCCUGUGCCUGCCUUUUGUCAAAGAUCAGCCCAAACUAGCUGCUGUUUCCCCAUGGACUUGGACAAGCCGAGUCUGUGCCCCUUGCUCUAGUGGCACUUCCCGUAGUACAUGAAAAGCCGUCUCCCUUUGGUCUCUGUCAGCACCCUGCUUUGUACCACUUCUCUUUGACCCUUGACUUAAUAGCUGCCUCCUUCCCGGCCGUUCCCUACCUCCUUUCAAUUACCUUCCUGACUGUAUCCUUUGCUUCAAAGCCUAUUAGUCCUCUAGUGAAUAGCCUGGCAUUCUUUGAAGAUCUAAGCUCCCACUUCAUCACUUGUUUUGGCUGUUUUCACUUUUCUGUCACAUGCAUCUGAUCCACCCACUGGAGCUUCCUAUUCUCUGACAGCCAUUUAUGCCUCAUUAUCUCCUUGACGGUUUCAUUUUUCAUGCUGUCUUCUCUGCUUGAUCUUCCCAAUCUUUUUCAAACAUUUGUUUUCAAAGUUAUUUCAACUUUCUCCGUUUGUUUUCAUGUGCUAAUGUCUCACAUCCUUACACCAUCUUCGAGGUGAUGCUUGCCUUGACAGUCCUCUCUUUGUUUGCGGAUAAUCUUCCUCUGGUCUGAAGUCCUGAAGAACCUCCUGAUGGUCUCUUACAGACCAGAUAGCAGAGCAGGUGACCCACUGGGCAGAUUAAUCAGGUGGGAAUGACGUGAAUGAUGUUUCCUUGGUGAGUCCCGGUCUUCUUCUGGCAAGAAGAGCAUCCUCUUAAUGGCAGAGGAUCUGAAAUGGAGCUUCUUCCACUACAAAGGGAUAUCUUGAGGCUUUUUUUCUUUUUUUGUUCUCUGAUUCCUUUCCCCUGGAAGAUGCCCAAAUGCAGUCCUUGUUACCAUCAGUUUGUAAUACACGUAGAGUAGCUUGAUGUACAAGGCUGUCCAUUUUCUGUGCAGAAUUUCAUUUUAUCUCUAGUUCUGCAUGUCCUGUGUUAUCUUAAACACAAGAAUUAUUUAUCACCGACCUUGAACAACAGCUCUUACACCAUAAAAAGCCUGCUGUUUCUUCCUGCAACCUCACUUAAAUUUCAGUUUUUUCUUUGGCAGCAUUGCAGUGCAAACACUUACUCUGUGUACCGUGGAAACGUUUUCUUGUAAACCCUCUUCCUUCUGCAAGGUGCAGCCCAUGAACUGUUCAGUUAACCAGUGGGGAUGCCUUUGAGAUGCUCUCUCCAACAUUCAUCACAAUCAGAAGAUCACAGAAGAUUUUUGUACCUUCUCUCUGUUUGUACUCAUGUUAGCAUGAGGUCACUCAGAAGCAGGGCCUGGCUCUACUAAGGACAUUCUGGGACCAUGUAAAUAGGUAGCAGAGCUUCAGCAAGGAGGAAAAGCAGAGCCACCAUUCCUGCCUCAUGGAUAGGGCAAGACAGCUUCCUGACACUGAUAUGGUGGCAUUUCAGCCUCUAGAAUGUGCACUGACAACUCUCCCUCUGACUUUGAUGGCAGCAGGAUUUUAUCCAGAGCAGCCUGCCCACUGACUCUGCUUUGAUAAGCCUGAAUGUCUUUUUUUUUUUUUUUUUUUUAAAUUUAAUUGUUAUCACUGUUCCAGUUCCACUAUUCCCUUUUGGCUGCCUGGGCACACUGCUGGCUUGCAUUCAACUUGCCAUGAGCAACUAGAUCCCUUUCAGCAGGGCUGCUCUACAGGCCAUCGUCACCCAGCCUGUACAUAUAGCCAGGAUUGCCCUGUGCCAGGUGCAGAAUCCAGCACUUGUGGUUGUCAAAUUUCAUGUGGUUGGUGAUUGCCCAGCUCUCUAAUUUGUCUAGAUCUCUGCAAGGCCUUUCAAACCCCAGGGAGUCAACAGCUUCUCCAAAUGUAAUGCUGUCCACAAAUUAACUUAGCAUACCUUUGAGUCCUGUAUCUGGGUAAUUUAAGAAAACAUCAGAGAACUGGCCUCAGAAUGAAGCCCUCAGAACCCCAGUAGUGACUGGGCAUCAGCCUAAUGUAAUCCCAUUUACGUAUUGAUGAGUUUGACCCGUCAGCCAAUUGCUCACUCACUGCAUUACAUGUAUAUUUUUGUCUCCUUUUACCAAAGAGCUUGUUCCGUGCUUAAUUUUUUUUAAAUGCUGUUUCUUUACUCUUCUUUUUAAUGGUUCAUUUCCAAUCAAGUACACAUUGGAUUUCCCUUGUUCCUGUUCCUUAUACAACCAGGAUAUCACUAUGAUAAUGCUUUAAACACUGUGAUUCAACAGAAGCUGAGGAUUCAAAUCUCUUAUAAAACCAUAGAACUAAUUUUAAAACCCAGCUUUAGGUCACAGGCGUUUAUUGACUUUUUUUCUAUAUGUCUUCCAUGUCAUGUUCCUUGCCCUUAGUAGAAUCUUUCUUGCAUGGUAGUGUCUUGAUGCCAUAAUUUAAGCAGGCCUUUAAAUUUCUUUACAUAUUACAAACUUUAAAACCAAUCUCGUGAUAAUCAUUUAUCUUAAUAACCUGCUAACUUCCUGGGGUAUCGAUCCGGCACUGCAUCCCUGCAGGGCUUCUUGCAUGUAUAUGUCUCUGUGGCACUUCAGUUGUCUCUUAAAAGUGCAUUGGCAGGACUGUGUAAAUGUGCCACUGUUCAAAUCGACCUAAUAAGAUCAAGAUGAACUUUUAAAUAAAGAAAACAGGGAAGAAAGAUGAUACUAUCAUACAUUUCCAAGCCUAGACCUUCCUUGUUGGGAGCGUGGAACAACUCAGUUUGCCCAGUUCUUCUGGAUAAGCUCUGAGCUUGAGAUAUGCUGUGAUAUUUCAUCUCUGCUCUAUCCUCAAAGGAUAGUGCUUUUUCUUUUCUGGGGGAGUAAGUGAAGUGACAGGUAUUCUAUACAGCCAAGCAGCUCCGCUUGCCUCCUUUCACAGUAGCAGGGCUGUUUUAUUUGAUUUGUACUCUUUCCUGCCCAAGGGCUUAGCCCUUUGCUCACAGCUGGCUCCCAGCGCUUGAUGCCACGAGCAGUCACUCCUUGCUUGAGCUGCACAUUGGUGGUCUUUACUCUUUGAAGUGCUUCUCUGCCUUGACUCGGGUGUCACCAGGCUGUCUCCACACUGCAUAGCCUUGGACCACUUUGCCACCAUCUCUGUUCAGCCUCCUAAAUCUGUGUGCCUCCUCUAGAAAUUUAAUAGGCGAGAUCCUUGGGGCAAGUGCUUACCAGGCUAAGUGAAUGGAUUUUACCUUUGGAAAUUUCCCUUUGGUUGUGCCCCCUAUCACACAACAUGCAGCAAUCACAGUAGUCAAUAAAACCUGGAGCUUUGCUUUUUGUUCACAUUGCCUACGGGUCUUAGAAGACAGUGUGCUUAUUUCAGGGUCUCACUGCAGUCCUCAGGAACUUUCCCUUCCCACUUCUCCGGUGUGAGUUCAUUUCCCAUUGCCCCCUGCCAGAAUCACUGUGUAGUGUCCCACGGUAGUAUCCCACAUGCAAUUUUUUCAUACUAAAGAAGCUGGAAAGUCCCGUGUUUUCCAAAAAUCAGAAUUCUCUUCAUAAGCCCUCUAGAAACUGGUAUAUUUUAGUGAAAUUUUAAUUUAGAACAUUCAAUGAAGUUGUAUUGCUUUUCUGGGAAACUUUAAGCAUAGUCAUGACAUAAUUUAUCAUGACACGUUUCAGAGUGCACUGACUUGUUUUACUGACGAGGUGGCACCUCAGCCAGAGGUAGGUCUGUGUGAAUUGGCUUAGCCCUGAUGAGCAGUGACAGCCCAAGCAACGGACAGUGUUUGGGCCACGAUUAACAUUUUAUGGAUCAUGUUAUUUGCCCACUGAGCUCUCCAAAAUCAAUCAGAUGGAACCCAGCCCUCACACAUGCUUCCCAUGUGAUUAGUCAGGCUGGUUGCACAGCCAUCGAUAACAUCAGCAUGAAUGAAGGAAAGCCCAGACCAUUACGAUCUAGACCUCAGUGUCACAGGAGAGAGAAGUGGAGGUACUCUGAUCAUCAAGAGGAAGGCAUGAGGAAAGAAGGGAUGGUAGGAGUGGUGACUGCCUCCUUAAACGUUGCGCUGUAAGCAGACUGGGUGGGUAGGAAAGGAACCCAGUGAGAAUAAAAAGAUGUAUCUGUGAGAAUGAAAUUAGAGAUUGCCUGUUUUCACGUAGCAAUUAAGAAGAAAGAAGUGGACCAGAGAUAUAGAACCCCAUAGCAGAGCAGAAAUGAUUAAAUGGUCUGCAGCAGGGAAAUAAAGAAACAUAAAUAUUUGAUGAGGAUUACUGAAGUAGGCAAUGGGAAAAGAUAGGGGAAUAAAUAAAAGAAGAUCUGAGGUCUUAAAACAUUCUUGAAGCAGGAAUUCAGGCAGCUUGUCUUUUGGGCUCUCGGAGAGCAGAGAAGAGGAAGUUGGUGACAAAUGAGCCCUGGGCAAAUGAGCAGCUGCUUCAUACAGGUGGGUCCUGUGAAGCACUUGUACAUCCCACAAGACCCCAAAAAUCCUGAGGUUUCCCGAAGGACAUCUAGCCUCACUGAUGUCAAGGCUUUUACUUAACCUUCAGUUUCAACAGAACCAGGAUUUCUCCUUUGGACUUCGGUUGUUGUGUGCCUGAGGCAGGUACUUUCUUGACCAAACAUUUAUGUCUUGACUCAGUAACCAGUUUGGAGGAGAACCUCAUGACUUUAUCUUUGGUUGGUGAGUACUGGCUUGUCUCCAAAGGACCUGUGUCAACACAGAUCAGCCAAAGGGUCUACGCCAUUGGAUCUGAUAUCCUUUGGACAGAAGGCAGCACUAUGAACAACAGAGUCCCUCCUGAUGAAGACCUAAACCGCUGUUCACAAACUGAAGGCAGCCAAGUGCUAGCAGAUGUCCCUCUGGAGCGUGUCGGGUGGGCCCGAGCUGCAUUUCCAUCUCGUGAUCUUUCUGAUCCCGGCACUCUUGCAUUGUGAUGUAGGACCUUGGUGUAAAUGCUGUCUGCUGGCGAUUAGAGGUCAUCCUCCAGGUCUCCUUUCACCAGGAGGGGGACAGCAGCAUUCACCACGCUGCCACGCACGCGGAAGGGGCACAAUCCACAAAGCUUCUUCCCUGCCGUGCAAUAAAACCGAGCGCCUCACAGAAACGAGGCCAUUUCCCAUUAACAGCAGGACCUGAACAAAACCAGCACGGCAGUGACAGCCCAUUCAUUCCAGAGGCCUUCCCCAUCCCCGCUUUGGAUUGCUACAGGUUAGAGCACAAACAAGCGAGGUAUUUCAGGUCCCCAAGCGGGCACCGAGCGCCACGGAACUGGAGGGAGCCUGGGAGGUACUGCUUUCAGUUCCAAUUACUAAAGCCAAUUGUGCUCCUGGCAGAGCUCACUGCCCCGGCCCUUUGCAGGCUGCUUACACAGCUAGCAGUGACAGCAGGCUUCCAGGGCAGGCAAGGGCGCUCCCAGCCUUCUUAAGCACGCCAGACAAAUAUUUACCAGGAAGACAGAAAUCUCCGUCCUGUUAUUUUAUCUUUUUUUUUUUUUUUUUUCCUCUCCUGCAGUCACAAUCUAUCUGUAGUUCCAUGCAGUUAGAGCUAAUGCACUGCUCUUCCUCUGGAGAAACACAACUCCAAAUUUGCAUGCAAUUCACGAAAUCAAAACGAAGAUGAACGCAGAGGUCAGAUACCUAUCUGUUCUCCAUACUCCUGAUAAAUUAGCAAGUGAGAGGUGCAACCCCUCCCCUCGCACGAGAUUUAUGUCUAUAUGCACGCAAUGAUGCAGGCUUAGGAGCUGUAAUGCAGAGCAAUCCAUACAACUUAUUUUUACUUGAUCAUCAGCAAGGCUUUGCUGUGUGCCAAAGAGUGCCUCUGUAAUCAGGAGAGAGAGGCAGGCACCCCUCCCAGCUAACUCAAAGCACAAUCCUACCUCAAGUCUCCCCAGAACCAGUGAGUCACUGGGCUUCUGUGCUCAGCUGCCUGACUCUAGGGGGUUGAUUCCUUGCUGCUGACUGUUGGGGCAGCUGGGGAGAUGGAGGCAGUCAGGGAGAUGGAACGCUCGUGGCGGAGCUCAGCCUCAGCAGAUCCCUCCCAGCACCUCUGGGCUGUGGAGCAGGAGCCUGGAUUUCUGCAGUGAGUUUCCAGCUAACUGUAGCACCACGGACUAGCUUUAAGACAAACAGAAAAAUGAGAUUUCAUGCAUAAAUGAGUCCCUCCAGUACAAUUGGGCAACACCAAGAUAACGCGGAUCUUAAAAAAAAAAUCCCCAAUGUUAGAAGCGUUGUAACUAAGAGCAAAAUCCUUGCCUCAGGAUCAUUCUGAAUUCUUGAAGAGAAGCAGUUGGCCAUAACACAGCGGUCCAAGGCUGCUACUACUGCUUUUUUUUCAGGUAAAAUGGCAAGGUUGUUACUCCUGAAAAAUACCUACACAACAGAUUCGUUGGGUAGUGCCACGGGAUUUCCAAUGAAAUGCUCUUCUGCCCAUGGACAAUUUGCAACCAAGAGACAUUCACUAGAUGUAAGCUAUUUGUCUAGCAGCCACUUCUAAUCUGGUUACAUACCUUGAUAAAAAAAAAAAUCACCUCCGUGAUUAUGUAAUACAAAAAUUACACUGUAGCUAUUCUGAAUGAUGCAGAUUUCCACGACGCAUAGCCACUAAAUUAAAUUUAUUAUUCUGCAUUUAGCUGUAAAUAUGCUUCUCCUAAUUGGGAGACAGUGAGAAACGGGGGCUCGUUAAAAUCUGAAUUUCUCCAGUUAAAAUUUGAAGGCACCAUUUUCCAUCUGCAGCAACAAAAAUGAAAGACAAAGCUCUUGUGACCCAGAGCUGCAUCGUCUUAUCUGUCAAAACCAGUUCCACUUCUCCUGCUCUGCAAAUAGCCGGGGCUGCUUCUCUCUUCUUCCCAGUCAUUCCACUGUAGCUGUUUGCUAAUGUUACUGCCAAGCCUUCGUAUACUUUGAUUACUGCUGCGUUUUGGUAGCAUAAAUGCUGCUCCACUUAGGAACUGAAGAACCUGCUUUCACUCUAUUCACCACCCCCAUCCGGCACGACUGACCCCUUUUAACCACACCAAAUAUGAAACCCCACAUAUAAGAUUUACGCUGCAAUUUUUGCAUGGCUCUAUAUGCGGAAGUACCCCACCUCGUGCUCUCAGGGCUCUAAGCCACAGCAGCCACGGCCCUGCUUAAUUUUGUUACACUGAAGGCUGGGGGCAGUUCCCCUUUCACCAUCCUUCCGUGAUGCCCAGGUCGAGUACAAGUCUGAGGCUGUAUUCAGUGCAGCUUCAUUAACAAACGUCUCCAUCUGUUCAAUCAGGAAUCUUUUACCUUGAUCAAAAAAACUCCCUGGCAAUUAGGCACCACAGAGAUGAAAAGGAAGCUCGAGACGGCAGAGGAAGGAGCGCUGGCUGGGACGCCAGCUUUGCCAGGCGCUGGAAGGAACCGAGCAUCAUUUCUUAAUGCCGCCGUUAGGAUCCGCAGCCCCUCCAUCAUUAAAUCGAGUGUUUACCCCCUCCCCUGUGGCAUUUUGGCUCUGUCUCCAAGCCCAGCAGAGCGAUGAGGCUCCCUGUCCCUGCAGCACAGCGUGCAUCGCGUCAGCUCUGUGUUUGUGCACGCGUCUGUACCUAAAGGCGCUGUUAUUUCCAGCUCAAGCUGAACGGCAAUUCUUUUAAAACAUGAUUUAAAAGUGUCUUAGAAGCGCUUAUCCCUAUCCUUUUUCGGUUCUUUAUUAAAUAUACUCUUAGUAAAUCUCAUUAUGCCUCUUUUUCCCUAAAGGUGGGAAUGGGAGUGCAGGAAGGAUUGUCUCCCAGCAAUCUGGUCCGUAAGACCCAUACAAAUUGGGCGUCUCUAAAGUCGCUAAUGCCCAUCAGGAGCUCUUUGUCUCUUUUGUCGCUCUGUAACAACAGGAUAGACCUGCACACAGCAGGCUCUUGAUGAAUACAAGGGCAUAUCGUUCUCAGAAAAGGCCUUUCUGAAUUUCUGUUCUGACAAAGAGGCCACGCUGCUGUUUUCCAGAUGCUCUUUCUAUGAAACCUCUCAUCAAAGAAGAACCCUACAGCAGGGAAUAUCUGAAAUGGAGCACCCAGAGGCUUUCGAUUGAAUUCUCUGACUGCUGACUGUUAACAUAACUAAAAUGUUGCCGGGUAGUAUUCAAACUAGCAGAUUACCUGGCCCGAACUGCUUUCAGAGCUCUUGCGCUCCAUCUCCCUGUCUUUAAAUGAGGCAGACAGCACGCUCAGUGGUCUUACGAAAAGCGUAGGUGUUCUGAAUACAGAGUUCUCUAUAAACAGCAUUAUUUACCUUCCUUUCCCAUCCUGUUAUUUUCCCUGUCUCUUGUACCUGCUUACCAAAUUCACGAGUUACACGGCUCAGCUCCUGACCACCACCAGCUUCCUGGUCCUGAAAAACUCAUGGGCGCAAGGAAUGGCUGCACUAGAGGAUCCAUUCACAUACACCAGAGGAACUCCCCCGGUCUUCUGAGUUUCAGCGUACAUCAGGGAGAACUGAUGUUUGGGCAUGCAGAAUGCCUCUUAUUCCUCCAGCAACGGAACAACUGCCAGCUGCCCAAACGAUACCUGCACAUCCAUACUCAUGGCAAUGCAUUUUUCCUGCACACCCACCACGCACAUUGCCACGCUUCUCAUCUGUCUCCAGCUAUUCUUGUAGAGCAGGUUUAAUCCCUCUUUGCACCACCAAUCCAGAGUGAGGAUGCAAUCCUUCAUUUUAAAGAGAUGACCCAGGUGCCCAAUAGCUUUCGCAGGCCUUGCUUUCCCCUCCAUCAUGAACAACUGAAUAGCUCGCCCUGCUGCUGGAUUUUCCAUCAGCACAUACUGUGCCACUAUUCCAUUUCAAUUUUGCAUUCACCGUACUUUCUGAGCAUUUCAAAUAAUCCUGAUGCAACUGCAGCAAAGCAAUAGACUGUGAAAGCAGAGAGGUCCUGGAUCUCGUAAGCAGGUCGGAUUCAUCAGAGCAGCACGCUAUUUAUUUCAGAAACGGUAAAGAAAUUUUUUGUUCCCCUCUACAGGAGCCACCCCAAAGAGAAGAAGCCAUGUCAGCCCUCGGCUCUAGGCAGCUGUACCUGCACCAGGCAGGCACUGGAAGUGAACAGCAAUGAUAAUUAUUGGAAAAAGGAAUCAUAUUAAGGGGCGGGAGGGAGAGACUGAGUAAAAAUGGGAAAGGACACAAACAGCAAAUUGCUCAAAAGCUGGAAGAGAGAAAAGUCCCCUCCAAACAUGCCCAGACUUUCAAGCAAGCACCCGUAUGUUUUAAGUCUCCAACCCUGGCUACAAUGAAGAAGAUAACGGGGUGAAAAAGCAUACCGUGAGCACAGGACAAAAGGAGGCUUUGCCCAAGUUCCUGAUAAAGUGCAGCCAGGGCUGCUCACCCUUACGACUGCAAACAUUUAUUUCUGGGGUCACUGCUUCUGAAAGAGAUAACUGCUAAGUCAAAGAGGAGCCCUGGAAAAUACUCCAUUCAAUUCCUUUUCAAGGAGACUAUUGCCAAGUGUAUGAAGAAUGAGCUUCAAAGUGGCAGGGAAGAGCAGCAGACGGGUAAAUAAAAGAGGGUGCAUGGUUUUACCUGAAAAGCAGCAACAAAAUACUGUGUGCGAGAGAAAGAGACGCUUUCCUGAUAUUUAUCCACAGACCCCAACCUAAAUGGUGGCUUAAAAUAGAACAGAAUGUUCUCAGUGACGAGAGCACAAGAAAGUUCAACAAAGUUCUGUUAAUGGAUGGUACCUUACAGGCACACUGUAAUUUUCAAACAUUUUGUGAUGUAAAGAUGCAGCAGUCAGCAUGAAAAAGUGAAAAACACAUGCUCUUACAGGAAAAAAAGAACAAAAACCCCAUUUCCUAAAAACAUGGAUAACCAGAGGUAUUGUUCACAUCGCACCUGGCUGAAACACCUUGCUAUUUGGGAUGAGCACUUCCAUUUCCAAAAGCUUAUCAAGGCCCAGCCAAGCACUCUGUUUUAAUUUUAUAAACCUGCUAGCUUCCUAGAAUUAAACCGCACAGCAUAUGAAACUCAUUUGCUGCAAAGGAAAGUGGUAAUUGGCAGCACUCAAUAAAAAAGACUUCACAGGUGAUACUUACCAUAUCUUUCUUCCCUUCCAAGAGACGCACUCAGUGAUGAUCAUUUUUCAAAAACAAAUGAAGAACUGUAUCCAGGUUGGGUUUUUUUUGUUGUUUGUUUUUUAAAAGAGUUCUACUCUGAGUCUUUUAAAGCCAAAGCUUUACAGUCAGCUUUGACUAUAUGGCAAUUAACGCAAAUCUGCUUUAAAGAAAUCAUUUUGCUAUUGAAAUCCUCACCUGUUUAUGUUGUCAGAUGUGUUGCUUUGGACCUAGGUGGUGACUCACCAAAAUAUAACGGACAUUUAAACAAUGCAUAUACACACGUGCUCAAGGGCAGUAAGAAGUUUUACAUAAAUAAAUGGCUUGGGGUUGUUUUAUUUCUGAAAAGAAGGGGACAGCCAAGUGACAGAUGACAGUGCUGGCUGUGUUAGUGAAGGUGAUGCUCCCCAGUCCGCUGGGGAAGCAUCAUGUGCUCUUUGGAAGAGAAGCCAUCACUGAAAUCUGGCUUCUGGAGAUCUGUGCUGCUUCUGCAGCGUGUCAUUAAUGCUGACUGUUAUUCCCAUUUCUCCAGUGAAAGCAUGGCUUCCUGCUCUACAGCGCUGUGCGAGCCAACACUAGCCAGGCCUCAAAGGACUCAGAGGAAAAGCAAACAUAUUGCAAGUCCUGUAUUACUUAACUGUAUGCGCAGAUGUCGUUUCUAAUUUCUACUGAUAACUUGAUGAAUGUAAGAGAAUAAUGUAAUGAUGAUUACGUAGAGGAA